rnacentral:tRNA from 1 species
GAGGGUUUAGCUCAGUGGUAGAGUGUGUGCUUAGCAUGCACAAGGUCCUGGGUUCAAUCCCUAGUACCUCUG